AGGACUGUAUUUUCAGGAGUCAUUUUCUAUAGUUUGUCACUAGAGAAGUUUCUCUGAACGUGUAGAGCACCCGAAACCAUGAGGAGGAGGCGCAGUGUUCUCUCCUGAGUGCGAAACCAGCAUUUGGUGUUGCUUUUGCAGCUGCCAAUAGCCAUUGAUGAUUGUUCUUCUCUUCCUUUGGAAGAGUAAGAGGGAGAAAACACAGUCUGAAUGGG